rnacentral:misc_RNA from 1 species
AAAAUAAAAAUAACCAAAAUAAGAAAAAGGCAGCAGAAAUCAGUCUCAACAUCUCCUCCCCCAAAAAAAAAAAAAAAAAAAGAGGAAAAAUGUAGCUGUUCGAUCACUAUUGAAUUGUUGAUGUCUGGAUAUAUACCUGAUAGUUCAAAUAACACUGAAAUUCUCUUUCCCAUGGCUGUCUGCUGAAAUGGGGUUAGCUCAUUACAGAUAGGAAAAACUACCGGCUUUUGGUCAGGUGGUGGUAUAAAAGGUAAAUUCCAACUAGUGUUCCCUGAGCAAGUGUUGUUUGUAAUCAUUACCAUGUUAGUAAUAAGAAAUAGCUUUGAGAUUGAUUUAUUGUAGUUGAAACUGGUUGAACGCCUUAGAUAUAAAGAUUUUUUAGUCUUUCCCUAUUUGUUCCGGUAGUAUGUAACAAAUCUAUAACUCAAAAUUCUCCAAUUUAAGCCGUUUUCAUGGAGUACAAAAUCUUGGAACUUCUAAGCUGUACAAAAAUCUCAUUAUAAUUUGAUCUUGACCCUUGGAAGCGUGGUCUAACCAAAAUGUGGAUUCCAUGCCUUUGCAGUGUUGUACUUGGA